rnacentral:rRNA from 1 species
GACGAACGCUGGCGGCGUGCUUAACACAUGCAAGUCGAACGAAGUGGCGAACGGGUGAGUAACGCGUAAUCAACCUGCCCUUCAGCGGGGGAUAACAGUUGGAAACGACUGCUAAUACCGCAUACUGAAGGAGGGGAUUGCGUCUGAUUAGCUAGUUGGGGGGGUAACGGCCCACCAAGGCGAUGAUCAGUAGCCGGUCUUGGAGGGUGGACGGCCCCAAUGGGACUUAGGCACGGCCCAGACGCCUACCGGAGGCAGCAGUGGGGAAACUUCCGGAAUGGACCAAAGUCUGACGGAGCAAAGCCGGGUGAGUGAUGACGGCCUUCGGGUUGUAAAGCUCUGUUAAUCGGGACGCGGUACCGGAAUAGAAAGCCACGGCUAACUACGUGCCAGCAGCCGCGGUAAUAC